rnacentral:lncRNA from 1 species
GACAUAAAGAUAACAACUUAAAUGAAACAAAUUCCUCAAGAAGACAUCACAGUUGUUCUGUAAGUGGCUCUUGAUUACACCCAGAAAAGCACGGCAUUAUUCACUCUGAUGAACAGGACUUGAAAUUUCCCAAGUGGAGUUUACUUUAACUUGUGAAGCACAGGUCUGGUCCUUGUCUAGAGAGAUUUAACUGGAUGUUUUCACCUCGACUGGCGGAAAGGAACGCGUGGCAGAUGUGUGAAAUUCGCUGCUAAGCCGAAACUUCCAUCUGGUUUCAGCUUUUCUUUUUCUUCCAAACUUCACAACACUGUCAUCAAGCAUUUCAGUCAUGUGGUUUGUGUUUACUUUCUCAGAUGUUAAUUUCUACCCAGUUUAGGCUACUAAAAACAAUCAAGAAACUUGAGAGGGAGAAGAAAGCAUAUAUAAUUCAUAAAGUAUAUAUGCUUUCCUUUUAUACCUCUUUACAUAUGUUCCUUCUAUUAUAGCAAAGUUGAUGUGGUAUUUUCUUCUAAUUUCCUUCGGUGCACACUAUUUACAACUAUAGAGGAGACAGAUAUUGUUCAAUGAAGUGAAGACCAAAACAAAGAGUUUCUGUUUAUCUUCUUCAUCUUGGAACCUAGUAGGCUUUUUUAUAGUUGCCUUCUCAGUGGACCUCUGUCUGAGUACGACACUCACUGAGUCCACAGACCUAUGAUGAAUAUGGAUAUAUUUUCAUAUAGAUGGUUAAUAUCAAAUUUGCAUCACUGCUUUCAAAUACCAGAUUGAACUUUUUAAAGGGGAGUCAAGGUCAGUUGUAAUGUAUCUAACAGAAAAAUCCUGAGAGUGUCUGAGACAGUCUACAGCACUGGCUGACUUAGUUUUAUACUAGGAAAACCU